CCUGUUUAUCUGAGCCCAUAACUCUGGAUAUCUGUUGUGAGCAGCUAUAGGAUCUUCACCUGAGCAAUGAAUGCAUUCAGAUUUAUCCGAGGAUGUUUUUGAACCAUGGUGCAGUUUCUGGGUGCGUUAAAUCCAGCAUCCCCACAUCAAAGGCCGUGUUAGGAACCAUGGCUGAUCAUGGGCCAAGCUGAGGUAACUGCCCUUUCAAUCCCCGGUAAACACAGGCCAGGCCGAGCAGGGCAAGGACUAUAAAAUGAAGUGUAUCCGGGAUAUAUAUAUGCAUUUGAAAUUACCUGCAG